rnacentral:tmRNA from 1 species
GGGGGCGCACUGGUUUCGACGGGGAUGCGGAAUCAGGAGUAGCGAGUCGUUGUCGCCAAACAACGUAAAAAGUGGCACAAACAAUAAACGACAAUAAUAAUUACGCAUUUGCAGCUUAGUUAAAGCUGUCCGUCUUUCUUAAGUAUCCUGCGGCUUUAGAAAAGACGUCAACCUAGCAGGGCACCGCGCUUAGCAAAGCUUUGAGCUAAGAACGGAAUCUAUGAAGCUACUAAAGCUCAUAUCCUGUCAGUAGGAGAUGAGUGGAGGGAAUGUUAAAUUACUGACUGCACUCGGAGAAGCUCUUGUGGAAGUGUUUUCGGACGUGGGUUCGAUUCCCACCGCCUCCACCA